GGGAAACUGCCCGAUGGAGGGGGAUAACUACUGGAAACGGUAGCUAAUACCGCAUAACGUCGCAAGACCAAAGUGGGGGACCUUCGGGCCUCAUACCAUCGGAUGUGCCCAGAUGGGAUUAGCUAGUAGGUGGGGUAAUGGCUCACCUAGGCGACGAUCCCUAGCUGGUCUGAGAGGAUGACCAGCCACACUGGAACUGAGACACGGUCCAGACUCCUACGGGAGGCAGCAGUGGGGAAUAUUGCACAAUGGGCGCAAGCCUGAUGCAGCCAUGCCGCGUGUAUGAAGAAGGCCUUCGGGUUGUAAAGUACUUUCAGCGGGGAGGAAGGCGGUGAGGUUAAUAACCUCACCGAUUGACGUUACCCGCAGAAGAAGCACCGGCUAACUCCGUGCCAGCAGCCGCGGUAAUACGGAGGGUGCAAGCGUUAAUCGGAAUUACUGGGCGUAAAGCGCACGCAGGCGGUCUGUCAAGUCGGAUGUGAAAUCCCCGGGCUUAACCUGGGAACUGCAUUCGAAACUGGCAGGCUAGAGUCUUGUAGAGGGGGGUAGAAUUCCAGGU
rnacentral:rRNA from 1 species